rnacentral:rRNA from 1 species
AUGAGCAGAGCUCGCUCGCCGCCGGCGCUGGACGACGACGACCUGCUGCCCGAGAUCCUCCUGCGCCUCCCCCCGCAGCCGUCCUCCCUCCCCCGCGCAUCCCUCGUCUGCAAGCGCUGGCGCAGCGUCGCCUCCGACCCGGCCUUCUCGCGCCGCUUCCGCCGCCACCACCGCCGCAACCCUCCCCUCCUCGGUCUCUUCCGCGUCGAAUACAAUCCCCACGUCGAGCUCCGCUUCGAGCCUUCCCUCGGUGCCCCAAAUCGAAUCUCGCCCGAACGCCUCUCCUGGCGAGGAAACGAGGAUGCCGGCUUCUACCAUCCCCUCGGAUGCCGCCAUGGCCUGGUGCUAAUCCUCGACACAACGCAGAAGCAGGUCCUGGUGUGGGACCCUGUCACCGGCGACCAGCACCGCGUCGCCAUUCCCCCAGGGUUCCAACUUGUUAGAACCCUACCCAGCGGUGCGGUGCUUCGCGGUGCCGCCGGAGACGGCGACCACUUCCAGGUGGUCUUGGUAGGCUAUGGUGAGGAACAAAUUGCACAGGUGCUCGGCUGCAUUUACUCAUCGGAAACUGGUGCGUGGGGCGAUCUCAUCUCGACAUCGGUUAGAUCCAAGGAUAUCGUGGCUUCUAUGGAUAAGCCUGCUGUGCUGGUUGGGGAUUCCCUUUACUGGUUGCUUCAUCCCGAUGGAAUUCUUGAGUUUGAUCUUGAUAGUAAGAGACUAUCUGUGAUACCUUUGCCUGUGGAAUUGGAUUUGGUGAGCAGCAGUUUAUUGUUCUCAGUUAUACGGGCAGAUAGCGGUGGGCUUGGUUUCCUCCUUUUGUCAGACUUCAAUGCCCAAUUGUGGGAGAGGAAGACCGGUUCUGAUGGUGUUACUUCAUGGGUGCUGGAAACAACUAUUGAAAUUGAUAGCCUACUUCCUCUGGAUUACGCAGAGGAGGGAGGCCCCCCAGUGAUACUAGCGUAUGCCGAAGAAAAUAACACGGCUCUCAUGUUAGAUGUUGGUCACCGUGGUGGUCUCUUCAUGAUCCAGCUUAAGUCAUUCAAGUUUGAGAAACUCUUGCGAAACAACAACUUAGAUUACUUUCACUUAUUCGAAAGUGUCUACACUGCAGAAACAUGCAUUGGUGGUGGAGCUGGUCUUUUACACAGCACAUAA